UACGUAGGGUGCGAGCGUUGUCCGGAAUUAUUGGGCGUAAAGAGCUCGUAGGCGGUCUGUCGCGUCGGUCGUGAAAACUUGGGGCUUAACCCUGAGCUUGCGGUCGAUACGGGCAUGACUGGAGUUCGGCAGGGGAGACUGGAAUUCCUGGUGUAGCGGUGAAAUGCGCAGAUAUCAGGAGGAACACCGGUGGCGAAGGCGGUUCCUGCU
rnacentral:rRNA from 1 species